rnacentral:tRNA from 1 species
UUUAAAUAGCUUAUAAAUAAGAGCAUAAUAUUGAAGAUAUUAAGGAAAUUAUUUAAUUUUUAAAUAUUUAUUUUUAUU